AGAUGGUCCAGAUCUGAGUUGCUGACCUAGAUGAAGGGGUACAGACAGUGCCCUCAUGCCUGCCAGACUCCAGAGCUCUGCCAACGUCCCUCCUGUCCCCUCCCCUGUAGCCCUUCCUGUCACUCAACCUUGUGCAACCCUGACCUGGGGGAGAAGGGGACAGAAAUCUUGCCAAGUAUUUCAGCAGGACAGCAAUUGCCUCACACUUCCUGGAUUUGGUAAAGGAUGGACCCCCCCACAACACGGGGGCUGGCAGCCAGGUGGCCCAUAAAGAGUCUCCCUGGGGAGUCCUCCUCAUUCUCUUCCUCCUCCUCCUCCCUACUGGACCCAGUCCAGUCACUGCUGAAACCAUGGCCCUGGGUGUCCUGUGUCUAGCCCUUACCCUGCUUGGGGUCCUGCAGAGCCAGGCCCAGGACUCGACUGAGAACCUGAUCCCCGCCCCAUCUCUGCUCAAGGUCCCCCUGCAGCCAGGCUUCCAGAAGGACCAGUUUCAGGGGAGGUGGUAUGUCGUGGGCCUGGCAGGCAAUUUAGUCCAGAAGGAAGAAGAAGGGCGCUUUACGAUGUACAGCACCACCUACGAUCUGCAGGAGGACAACAGCUACAAUGUCACCUCCAUCCUGCUCAGGGACCAGCGAUGUGACUACUGGAUCAGAACUUUUGUUCCAAGCUCCAGGGCUGGCCGGUUCACCCUGGGAAACAUUCGCAGUUAUCCUAAGAUACGGAGCUACAGUGUACAAGUGGCCGCUACCGACUAUGACCAGUUUGCCAUGGUAUUUUUCAAGAAGACUUCUGGAAAAAAGCAAUACUUCAAAAUCACCCUGUAUGGAAGAACCAAGGAAUUGCCCGCUGAACUAAAGGAGCGCUUUGUCCGCUUUGCCAAGUCUCUGGGCCUUACAGAUGACCAUAUCAUCUUCUCUGUCCCCACCGACCAAUGCAUUGACAACUGAACAGGCGGUGCCUCCUGUCUGUCCCCAGCCCCCAUCUUUCCUGUUUCCAGAGAGCCACCUGCUUACCCCACCAGCCACGAUACCAGUCCCAAAGGGGCAGCCCCUCUGGAACUGGGAAGCUGGAAGAGCCUGGAGGGGAUAUGAGAUACAGUCAUCCCACACUCAUCUGGAUCCUGUGAUUGCUAGGAGUCAGAGGCCAUUUCUCUUCCCCCUGCCAGAAUGUGUGAGGUCCAAAUGAACCCCUCUUUCCCAUCUCACACACAUAUGCUGCUCCUUUCACCUUGGCUGAGGAGAUGGGAGUGCCUAGGUGGUGACCACCCCACUCUCAGUCCUGCAGGGGGGCAGCACAGACCCGAGACCCAGCUCAUCAGAUGGUGUUGAAAUCUGGGCUGGAUUUCGGGAAGAGAUGGCACACGCUGAGCAGCUAGUGAGGGAUAGAGGCUGUGUUCAAGCCCAGAAAGCUUCCAGGGUGAGAGGUACAUCUAGGGCCUACUGGUUAAAGCCUCAGUGGCUAGCCAUGUAAGGACGCUACACCACACAUACUUCACUCCUGGGCUCCAAUCCAGCUGCAGAUCUAAUUUCUUUCUUUCUUUUGGGUCAGAGUCUUACUAUAUAUCCCUGGCUGGUCUGGACUCUAUGUAGAGCAGACUGGCCUUGAACUCAUAAGAGCUCUGCCUGCUUCUGCUUCCAAAGUGCUGGGAUUAAAGGUGUGUACCAUCAUGCCCAGCUUAUUUAUGUGGAUGUUUUGCUUGCUUAUAUGUGUAUGAACCACACACAUGCAGUUCCCGUAGAGGCCGGAAGGAGGAGUCUGAUCACCUGGAGCUGAAGUUACAGAGAGUCAUGAGCCACCAUGUGAGUGCUGGGAAUUGAACCCAGGUCCUUCAAAACAGACUGUUCUUAAACACUGAACCAACU